rnacentral:rRNA from 1 species
GACUAACGCUGGCGGCGUGCCUAACACAUGCAAGUCGAACGAGGUAGCAAUACCUAGUGGCAGACGGGUGAGUAACACGUGGUCAACCUUCCCUACAGUGGGGGAUAACUAGCCGAAAGGUUAGCUAAUACCGCAUGAGAUCUUCGAGUGGCAUCAUUUGAAGAUGAAAGGAGCAAUCCGCUGAAGGACGGGACCGCGUCCCAUUAGCUAGAUGGUGGGGUAAUGGCCUACCAUGGCAACGAUGGGUAGCUGGUUUGAGAGAGCGACCAGCCACACU